GACGAACGCUGGCGGCGUGCUUAACACAUGCAAGUCGAACGGAAAGGCCCUGCUUUUGUGGGGUGCUCGAGUGGCGAACGGGUGAGUAACACGUGAGUAACCUGCCCUUGACUUUGGGAUAACUUCAGGAAACUGGGGCUAAUACCGGAUAGGAGCUCCUGCUGCAUGGUGGGGGUUGGAAAGUUUCGGCGGUUGGGGAUGGACUCGCGGCUUAUCAGCUUGUUGGUGGGGUAGUGGCUUACCAAGGCUUUGACGGGUAGCCGGCCUGAGAGGGUGGCCGGCCACAUUGGGACUGAGAUACGGCCCAAACUCCUACGGGAGGCAGCAGUGGGGAAUAUUGCACAAUGGGCGGAAGCCUGAUGCAGCAACGCCGCGUGCGGGAUGACGGCCUUCGGGUUGUAAACCGCUUUCGCCUGUGACGAAGCGUGAGUGACGGUAAUGGGUAAAGAAGCACCGGCUAACUACGUG
rnacentral:rRNA from 1 species